rnacentral:rRNA from 1 species
GAUGAACGCUGGCGGCGUGCCUAAUACAUGCAAGUCGAACGGAGCGGCGGACGGGUGCGUAAUGCCUAGGAAUCUGCCUGGUAGCGGGGGAUAACGUCCGGCAACGGGCGCUAAUACCGCAUACUAUCAGAUGAGCCUAGGUCGGAUUAGCUAGUUGGUGGGGUAAGGGCCUACCAAGGCGACGAUCCGUAACUGGUUUGAGAGGAUGAUCAGGCACACUGGAACUGAGGCACGGUCCAGACUCCUACGGGAGGAAGCAGUGGGGAAUUUUGGACAAUGGGCGAAAGCCUGAUCCAGCCAUGCCGCGUGUGUGAAGAAGGUCUUCGGAUUGUAAAGCACUUUAAGUUGGGAGGCGUUACCAGCAGAAUAAGCACCGGCUAACUACGUGCCAGCCGCCGCGGUAAUAC